rnacentral:rRNA from 1 species
GCUGGCAGCUAGCUCUCUGAAACUCCCACAUGGUCACCCACUGAAGCUAAGCAGGGCUACACCUGGUCAGUAUCUGGAUGGGGCACCACAUGGGAAACCUAGCUUGCUGCCGAAA